rnacentral:rRNA from 1 species
UACGUAGGGAGCAAGCGUUGUCCGGAAUCAUUGGGCGUAAAGCGCGCGUAGGUGGCCUCAUAAGUCCGCUGUGAAAGUCAAAGGCUCAACCUUUGAAAGCCGGUGGAUACUGUGGGCUAGAGUACGGAAGAGGCGAGUGGAAUUCCUGGUGUAGCGGUGGAAUGCGCAGAUAUCAGGAGGAACACCAAUAGCGAAGGCAGCUCGCUGGACGUUACUGACACUGAGGCGCGAAAGCGUGGGGAGCGAGCCGG